rnacentral:rRNA from 1 species
UACGUAGGUGGCAAGCGUUAUCCGGAAUUAGUGGGCGUAAAGCGCGCGCAGGUGGUUUCUUAAGUCUGAUGUGAAAGCCCACGGCUCAACCGUGGAGGGUCAUUGGAAACUGGGAGGCUUGAGUGCAGGAGAGGAAAGUGGAAUUCCAAGUGUAGCGGUGAAAUGCGUAGAGAUUUGGAGGAACACCAGUGGCGAAGGCGACUUUCUGGUCUGUAACUGACACUGAGGCGCGAAAGCGUGGGGAGCAAACAGG